UUAAGUUAAUAAGGGCGCACGGUGGAUGCCUUGGCACUAGGAGCCGACGAAGGACGUGACAAACGACGAUAUGCCUUGGGUAGCUGUAAGUAAGCGAUGAUCCAGGGAUUUCCGAAUGGGGGAACCCAACAGGUAAUACCUGUUACCCACAUCUGUUAAGGAUGUGAGGAGGAAGACGCAGUGAACUGAAACAUCUAAGUAGCUGCAGGAAGAGAAAGCAAAAGCGAUUGCCUUAGUAGCGGCGAGCGAAACGGCAGAAGGGCAAACCGAAGAGUUUACUCUUCGGGGUUGUAGGACUGCAAUGUGGACUCAAAGAUUAUAGAAGAAUGAUUUGGGAAGAUCAGCCAAAGAGAGUAAUAGCCUCGUAUUUAAAAUAGUCUUUGUACCUAGCAGUAUCCUGAGUACGGCGGGACACGUGAAAUCCCGUCGGAAUCUGGGAGGACCAUCUCCCAACCCUAAAUACUCCCUAGUGACCGAUAGUGAACCAGUACCGUGAGGGAAAGGUGAAAAGCACCCCGGGAGGGGAGUGAAAUAGAACCUGAAACCGUGUGCCUACAACAAGUUCGAGCCCGUUAAUGGGUGAGAGCGUGCCUUUUGUAGAAUGAACCGGCGAGUUACGUUAUGAUGCGAGGUUAAGUUGAAGAGACGGAGCCGUAGGGAAACCGAGUCUGAAUAGGGCGCCUUAGUAUCAUGACGUAGACCCGAAACCAUGUGACCUACCCAUGAGCAGGUUGAAGGUGCGGUAAGACGCACUGGAGGACCGAACCAGGGCACGUUGAAAAGUGCUUGGAUGACUUGUGGGUAGCGGAGAAAUUCCAAACGAACUUGGAGAUAGCUGGUUCUCUCCGAAAUAGCUUUAGGGCUAGCGUCGACAUUAGAGAUUCUUGGAGGUAGAGCACUGUUUGGGUGAGGGGUCCAUCCCGGAUUACCAAUCUCAGAUAAACUCCGAAUGCCAAUGAAUUAUGGUCGGCAGUCAGACUGCGAGUGCUAAGAUCCGUAGUCGAAAGGGAAACAGCCCAGACCACCAGCUAAGGUCCCAAAAUAAUUGUUAAGUGGAAAAGGAUGUGGGGUUGCACAGACAACUAGGAUGUUAGCUUAGAAGCAGCUAUUCAUUCAAAGAGUGCGUAAUAGCUCACUAGUCGAGUGACCCUGCGCCGAAAAUGUACCGGGGCUAAAACAAUUUACCGAAGCUGUGGAUACCUUUAUAGGUAUGGUAGGAGAGCGUUCUAUGUGUGAUGAAGGUAUACCGUGAGGAGUGCUGGAACGCAUAGAAGUGAGAAUGCCGGUAUGAGUAGCGAAAGACAGGUGAGAAUCCUGUCCACCGUAAGACUAAGGUUUCCAGGGGAAGGCUCGUCCGCCCUGGGUUAGUCGGGACCUAAGGAGAGACCGAAAGGUGUAUCCGAUGGACAACAGGUUGAUAUUCCUGUACUAGAGUAUGUAGUGAUGGAGGGACGCAGNNNNNNNNNNNNNNNNNNNGUCACACUGCCAAGAAAAGCUUCUAGCGUUUAAACAUACUCUACCCGUACCGCAAACCGACACAGGUAGUCGAGGCGAGUAGCCUCAGGUGAGCGAGAGAACUCUCGUUAAGGAACUCGGCAAAAUGACCCCGUAACUUCGGGAGAAGGGGUGCUGACUUAAAGUCAGCCGCAGUGAAUAGGCCCAAGCAACUGUUUAUCAAAAACACAGCUCUCUGCUAAAUCGUAAGAUGAUGUAUAGGGGGUGACGCCUGCCCGGUGCUGGAAGGUUAAGAGGAGUGCUUAGCGUAAGCGAAGGUAUGAAUUGAAGCCCCAGUAAACGGCGGCCGUAACUAUAACGGUCCUAAGGUAGCGAAAUUCCUUGUCGGGUAAGUUCCGACCCGCACGAAAGGCGUAAUGAUUUGGGCACUGUCUCAACGAGAGACUCGGUGAAAUUUUAGUACCUGUGAAGAUGCAGGUUACCCGCGACAGGACGGAAAGACCCCAUGGAGCUUUACUGCAGUUUGAUAUUGAGUGUCUGUACCACAUGUACAGGAUAGGUAGGAGUCUAAGAGAUCGGGACGCCAGUUUCGAAGGAGACGCUGUUGGGAUACUACCCUUGUGUUAUGGCCACUCUAACCCAGAUAGGUGAUCCCUAUCGGAGACAGUGUCUGACGGGCAGUUUGACUGGGGCGGUCGCCUCCUAAAAGGUAACGGAGGCGCCCAAAGGUUCCCUCAGAAUGGUUGGAAAUCAUUCGCAGAGUGUAAAGGUAUAAGGGAGCUUGACUGCGAGAGCUACAACUCGAGCAGGGACGAAAGUCGGGCUUAGUGAUCCGGUGGUUCCGUAUGGAAGGGCCAUCGCUCAACGGAUAAAAGCUACCCUGGGGAUAACAGGCUUAUCUCCCCCAAGAGUUCACAUCGACGGGGAGGUUUGGCACCUCGAUGUCGGCUCGUCGCAUCCUGGGGCUGUAGUCGGUCCCAAGGGUUGGGCUGUUCGCCCAUUAAAGCGGCACGCGAGCUGGGUUCAGAACGUCGUGAGACAGUUCGGUCCCUAUCCGUCGCGGGCGUAGGAAAUUUGAGAGGAUCUGCUCCUAGUACGAGAGGACCAGAGUGGACUUACCGCUGGUGUACCAGUUGUCUUGCCAAAGGCAUCGCUGGGUAGCUAUGUAGGGAAGGGAUAAACGCUGAAAGCAUCUAAGUGUGAAACCCACCUCAAGAUGAGAUUUCCCAUGAUUAUAUAUCAGUAAGAGCCCUGAGAGAUGAUCAGGUAGAUAGGUUAGAAGUGGAAGUGUGGCGACACAUGUAGCGGACUAAUACUAAUAGCUCGAGGACUUAUCCAA
rnacentral:rRNA from 1 species